rnacentral:rRNA from 1 species
UACAGAGGUCUCAAGCGUUGUUCGGAUUCAUUGGGCGUAAAGGGCGCGUAGGCUGCGGGGCAAGUCGGGUGUGAAAUCUCAGAGCUCAACUCUGAAACUGCACUCGAUACUGCUUGCUUGAGGACUGGAGAGGAGAUUGGAAUUCACGGUGUAGCAGUGAAAUGCGUAGAUAUCGUGAGGAAGACCAGUGGCGAAGGCGGAUCUCUGG